rnacentral:lncRNA from 1 species
GACUGGUAAUCUCUUCUUCUUCGUCUUCUUCCACAGUUCUUGUGUUUCACUAAAACCCUAAUUUUCGUUUUCUGCAGAGAAACUAUCGUUAUUUCUUCAUAUUUCUGUCGUCUUCGACGGUUCUGUGUGCUUAUAUACUUGCAAUGUCGGCGUUGAACAUACAUUUUCUCAUGGACGGAGGUUACACUACUGCCUGGAAAGCGAUCAAGCACUCGCCGUUCUCUUUGAUUUUGAUCAUAUACUGUUUCUUUUCUCUCUGGUUCGUCGGCGGCCUCACCUGCUUCCAUCUCUAUCUCGUUGCUACUAAUCAGGUGAGAUCGAAUUAAUCUUCUGAUUCUUUUACUCUACUUAGUAGUACUUACCGUGUAAUUCGAAACAUUUACCAGACGACCUACGAGAAUUUCAAGUACAGAGUCGACGGUCGGCGGAGUACGGAAGACGACGGCUGUUCGGAGAAUUUCGCGCAGGCGUUUU